rnacentral:rRNA from 1 species
UACGGAGGGGGCUAGCGUUAUUCGGAAUUACUGGGCGUAAAACGCACGUAGGCGGAUUGGAAAGUCAGAGGUGAAAUCCCAGAGCUCAACUUUGGAACUGCCUUUGAAACUCCCAGUCUUGAGGUCGAGAGAGGUGAGUGGAAUUCCGAGUGUAAAGGUGGAAUUCGUAGAUAUUCGGAGGAACACCAGUGGCGAAGGCGGCUCACUGGCUCGAUACUGACGCUGAGGUGCGAAAGCGUGGGGAGCAAACAGG